UACGUAGGGUGCGAGCGUUAAUCGGAAUUACUGGGCGUAAAGCGUGUGCAGGCGGUCUGUUAAGACAGGUGUGAAAUCCCCGGGCUUAACCUGGGAAUUGCGCUUGUUACUGGCAGACUAGAGUGCGUCAGAGGGAGGUGGAAUUCCACGUGUAGCAGUGAAAUGCGUAGAGAUGUGGAGGAACACCGAUGGCGAAGGCAGCCUCCUGGGAUGACACUGACGCUCAUACACGAAAGCGUGGGGAGCAAACAGG
rnacentral:rRNA from 1 species